AAAAUAUUUUAACGCCAACUAAACAGAGCUGAAAUUAUAGACUUGCAUACAGUUUAAUAGAAAUUCACUAAUAGCUAUCCAUUUGAAAAUAACCCUGAAAUAUAAGAAUAUAGAGCACAGAAUCACCAACUAUGGAAUCCUCACUGCCACGGGCAGAAGAAGGAAAGAAAAGGCAUGCUUCUAAAAAUAAUACAAGGAGAGGAACUAGAAACUGAGGCUAUUAUCGGAAAAUGGAUACAUAUAGUCAUGAUGCCAAGUACCAGUUGUUUUGCCAAAAUGGUUUUGCAUGAUGCAUGAUGUUUCAUCCUGGAACGAUUUCUUUUUAUGAAAGAAGAAUGAAGACGACAGUAACUGAGGGCUUAAAGCAGGCAAGGGCCAACAAAACAAACAAACAAAACCU
rnacentral:lncRNA from 1 species